AUGGCAUUGGUACCCAGGAUGUUGUACUUCUUGGAAGACCAUCAUCAGAAUCUCACAUUCUGCCUUGCUCUUUGGUCCAACGGUGCCGCGGAUCCGCUCGCGGAGGGAAAGGUGCUGGAUGAAGGUGAAUCCUGGGAGGACCGAAGCGUAGGGCUCUGCCCUCUGUCCGAAGUUGAACUCCACGGCACAAUUCUUCACCAGGACAUGAGGACAGAGGGCCUGACCCCCCAGGGCCCCCUUCUGGAUUUGGAAGGCAAUGCCCAUCCACUUCCCAUUCUCGGUGAAGGAAAGUUCCACAUCGUUUCCACAUUCAAAGUCCGUAAAACAGCCAAUCACAUCGUUCUCUGCAAAUUUGUCUCCGCAGUCUUCAAAUCGGCUAUUGGUGGGCUUCUUUCCAGUGCCUCCACAGCCAUAGGAGAAAGGCUCUUCUCCUAGCUGGGAGCUGCAGGAGUCCAGGGACCCGCCGAUUCGAACAACGUGGGGAUCGGGCUCUGUAGACGGAAGGGGCUUCACAGAGAUUUCCUGGUUGAUCUUCAUCUCGAAGCACACACGGCCCCUCCUGACCCCGUAGCUGGCACGGGCUCCUGACCAAAGGUAUGCAAAGCCCUCGAGUGUGAGCGGAUAGCCACUACUCCUAUCUUGGGCCACCUUGAAGUGGAGGUCUCAGUUAUAUGUAUCGAUGGCAACAAGGGUGUCAUCAAAGUCAUCUUCAUCCUCUUCGGCGGGAGGCUGAGGGGAGCGGCCCCUCCGAUCCUCUCGGUGCUCAAAGUACCCGCGGCCCCGGUUUUCUUCCUAAGGCCUCUUGUGACUCUCGAACUGCUGUCUGUCGGGCUUGAGCUGAGGAGCUUCAGGAGGGAGGAAGCUGGUGGGUCCUUCUUGUUUCAUCUCUGUCUUCCCUUCUACUGGGCAGUAGGACUGCUGCUGCGGCUCCAUGUCUAGUGCUCUCCUCUCAUAGACAGACUCAUGCUCUUGCUUGAUGACCUGGGUCUCAUAGAACUGGUUCUAUGAACUCUUUUGUUUUAAAAAUAUUUAAUUGAGAGGUAGAGUUACAGACAGAGAGAAAGAUCUUCCUCUCACUGGUUCACUUUCUGAAGGCUGCAAUGUCCGGGGCUGGGUUGAUCUGAAGCCAGGAGCCACAAGCGUCUUCUGGGUCUCCCAAGCAGAUGCAAAGAGCCCAAGUACCUGGGCCAUCUUCUACUGCUUUCCCAGGCCAUACCAGAGAGCUGCAUAAGAAAAAUAGCAGCUGGGACUCAAACUGGCGCCCAUAUGUGGUCCUGGUGCUGAGGUUUAGUCCACUACACCACAGCACUGGCCCCCUAGUAAACUCUUAAAACUUUCAGUACCUCUCAGCACUACUGUAUUGGGAAUCAAUUUUCAGCAUGAUUUUCUGAGGAGACAAACAAUAUUAAAACCAGAAGAAGGGAACAACAAAUGA
rnacentral:lncRNA from 1 species